UACGGAGGGUGCGAGCGUUGCUCGGAAUCAUUGGGCGUAAAGCGUACGCAGGCGGCUGUUCAAGUCGGGUGUGAAAGCCCAGGGCUCAACCCUGGAAAUGCGCCCGAGACUGAGCGGCUUGAGUGCGGGAGAGGGAAGCGGAAUUCCUGGUGUAGAGGUGAAAUUCGUAGAUAUCAGGAGGAACACCGGUGGCGAAAGCGGCUUCCUGGCCCGACACUGACGCUCAUGUACGAAAGCGUGGGGAGCAAACAGGAUUAGAUACCCUGGUAGUCCACGCCGUAAACGAUGAGUGCUAGCUGCUGGGAAUGUUUACCGUUUCAGUGGCGAAGCUAACGCAUUAAGCACUCCGCCUGGGAAGUACGGCCGCAAGGCUAAA
rnacentral:rRNA from 1 species